AAAGACUCAAUUCCUAGGCUUCCGUGUCCAAUGUUUGACUAUCCGUCUUAUAUAUUAGUAUUUUCAUUGUUGUUAGAUGAUAAAACAUGAAUAAUACUUUAUGCGUGGCUUAUCUUUUUAAAUUUUUUCAAAUAAGACGGACGGUCAAAUGUUGGACACGAAAACUCAGAAAUUGAGUUAUU
rfam:Oryza meridionalis cultivar OR44 (W2112) chromosome 10, whole genome shotgun sequence.